GUCAGCGUUACGAUGGCGACGGGGGCGAGCCGGCCAUCCCGGCCUCACAAGGAGCCGCAGCCGCUGGUCAGCACCUCAAGCUGUAGAGGCUCAUGAGGAACCCGGUGCCGAUUCUGACCAUUCUUCAAAGCGGCAAGCUAGCGAAGAGGACGAUGACGGUGCCUCUGAGGAGGAGAAGGAUGACGCAGAAGAGCCCAGCUUUAUCANGGAGAGAUGAUGGAGUAAGUUUGUGGCCGGUGUCCNUGUGUCCUUUUGCUGCCAAGGAGCCUGGAACCUGUGUCGAGCAGGGUCCUUUUGCUGCUUUGGACCUUCAUCCUGGCAGAGUGUGGCCANAGCCAUANGGGUCAGGGCCAAAGCCAAGUCGGAGAAGAGUUUCUUUUCUCCUUGCUGCUACUGGGGUUCUGGGNAAAAAANAAUGCCACGGUGCCCAUCUUGUUCUUCCUACCAUUGCUCCGAGGUGGUGUUUNCUCCCUGNAAGCUAAUGCUUUAGCCAUCUGUGUUUUUAAGCAGAUUCUUUUUCCCUGAGAGACUCGGGGAAAUACGGAAAUAGCUGUACGUGNAAGANGNUGGUUGGCCAAGNNUCCAGAGAGUUUCUGCUAANCAAAUCUUUACCAACAGUGAAUAUUUUUUUCUGCUUUUUCAAUAAACAAAACAAAAAAGAGACCA
rnacentral:lncRNA from 1 species